UAUUUGAUGUCAAUAAAAUAUAGGGAUGGGACAAUACACCAGUGCAUCACAGUAUAUACCUUGACGAUAUUUGGAUUGAUACAUUUACCAUUAAUACAGCGAUACCGUAGCGAACUUUUUUUUUAUUUUCCAAAAAUAUCCGAGCUUCAUAUAUCAGCUAUUUUAAGUCUGUGCGCCUAUUAUAUGAAAGUACAAAAAUGGCAGAAAACCUCGUAAAGUUGUCAAAUCGAAGCUAAAUCUGGAGUGUGGAAAACUUUCGGAUUACUUGUUUAUGAAAAGUAGUGAAUACAAAACGAAAAUUGCUGUGCAUGAUGGAUACUCCCAUGGAAUUACCCUAGGAUUGUAGUGAAAAAUGAAAUCUGAUGAUGGAAACCAAAUAUUGAAAUGCAAUAAACAGAUAUUUCCUGUCUAUGCAAGAUAAAGGAAGGAGAGAGUCGAUUCUUUCAAGAAAGGAAUGGAUCUGUAUCAAAGGAAACAAGGAAAAUGGAAGUUAUACUAUAGACAGGCUGUCAGGCUGUAUUUAAACAAAAGACCUCCUGGGAUGAGGAGAAAAAGAAACAAGUAGAACCUGUAUUUCUUGUCGAGUACUUGAUGAUGUCAUCAGAAUAUGAAAAUGAUUGGGAAGAUGACACAAUAUAUGAAAUCACAUCUCUAAAGUGGUGCUCUGACGAAUGUUUAAUUGGACACCAAAAGUUCUGCUCUGAAAUCCAAAUGUUCAAAAAGGCAAAGUAUAAGACGUAUAAGGACCAACAAAGAAUCAUCUAGAGACAAACCAGAAAAUAUAUCAAAUGAACAGAAAUGGGCCAUUUGAGAUUUUUAAAAGAGUUGCUACUGUCAUGUAUAAUUAGCUCACCUGAGCUGAAAGUUAUUAUAUGGUUUUACUGAUAUG